AAUGAACGCUGGCGGCAGGCCUAACACAUGCAAGUCGAACGGGUCCUUCGGGACUAGUGGCGGACGGGUGAGUAACGCGUGGGAACGUGCCCCUUGGUACGGAAUAGCCCCGGGAAACUGGGAGUAAUACCGUAUGUGGUCGAGAGACGAAAGAUUUAUCGCCAAGGGAUCGGCCCGCGUUGGAUUAGGUAGUUGGUGGGGUAAUGGCCUACCAAGCCGACGAUCCAUAGCUGGUUUGAGAGGAUGAUCAGCCACACUGGGACUGAGACACGGCCCAGACUCCUACGGGAGGCAGCAGUGGGGAAUCUUAGACAAUGGGGGAAACCCUGAUCUAGCCAUGCCGCGUGAUCGAUGAAGGCCUUAGGGUUGCAAAGAUCUUUCAGGUGGGAAGAUAAUGACUGUACCACCAGAAGAAGCCCCGGCCAACUCCGUGCUAGCCGCCGCGGUAA
rnacentral:rRNA from 1 species